GAGGGUAUAGCUCAGUGGUAGAGUGUGUGCUUAGCAUGCAGGAGGUCCUGGGUUCAAUCCCCAGUGCCUCCG
rnacentral:tRNA from 1 species